rnacentral:rRNA from 1 species
UACGUAGGGUGCGAGCGUUAAUCGGAAUUACUGGGAGUAAAGUGUGCGCAGGCGGCCGAGCAAGUCGAGUGUGAAAGCCCCGAGCUUAACUUGGGAACUGCGCUCGAAACUACUUGGCUGGAGUGUGGCAGAGGAAGGUGGAAUUCCACGUGUAGCGGUGAAAUGCGUAGAGAUGUGGAGGAACACCGAUGGCGAAGGCAGCCUUCUGGGCCAACACUGACGCUCAUGCACGAAAGCGUGGGGAGCAAACAGG